GCGGGUAUAGCUCAGUGGUAGAGUACAACCUUGCCAAGGUUGGUGUCGUGGGUUCAAAUCCCAUUGCCCGCUCCA
rnacentral:tRNA from 1 species